CUUAGAUCGACAAAAUCACCCUUCACUUCACUUCCAGACGAGGCAGACUGUACUGAGCUCCCAACCAUGACAGACAACAACCCAAACCCUAACCCUAACCCUAACCCUAACCCUCCACAAAACCUCCCACCUCCUCCUCCUCCUCCAAAUUCUAGGGUUGCAGGCGAAAGUGGUUCCAACAGAAGCAGCGCAUACGGUGGUCAGAAGCCCCAUUACCCUAACCCACCCGACGCAACGAACCCAGACGCUGCCACCCUCAGGGAGCAAUGGAGGUUCGCCAUCAAGCAGUACAGCCGAUGGUACUCCCAAGCCUGGGGCACCGCCAUACUCGCUGGUCUCUCUUUCUUCGCCCUCGGUUGGAUCAUCAAAGGCUCCAAUCCUCUCCCUUCCUUCGUCAAGCACGAAGACGAAACCAAACAACGAGAUCAACGGCAACAAGGCGGCCAUGAUGAUGAUCAUCAAUCUCCCAAAUCGUGAUCUCAAUUGUGGUUCACAAAAUCAGAAGCAUACGGAGUUUGAUCAAGAGUGCAGCCAUCACAUGCUGGGUUGUUGACAGCACUUGAUUCAAUAGUUAUUUGCCAAGGUGACCACUUGCUGAGAUACCCAGACGCAAAGAAGAGACACCAUAAAUAGCCGGGUCUCCAAGAACAAGCUUCCUUUGAAGGUGAGAACUUGGUUCAUGCACAAAGAGACGAGUUCUUGGUAUUACAGAUAUGAUUUCAAAGAGAACUUUGUUUUGAGGGCAGGGAGUAUGAGUGGAAGGCUGUUCCUUUUGGGCUAUGUUUUGUGGCAGAGUACAUGGCUCUACUCUUAUCUUCAGGGUCCCAACUGCCUCCAAUUUCACAGCUUUAACCAGAGUUGAGAAUUACUAUGAAAUAAUCAAGCGUAAAAGAACAACUAUUUUUCCAACAAGAAAUUAUUUUUUUCAUUCCACUGUUUGGAUUGAAAGGUGUUUGGGCUCAGGAGGUUUACUACCGGUCUUACAGAUUCUUUUAACAACUAUUUUUUCAAUUUAAUGGUGCUUGUUCGGUUUACUAUAGGUCUCAUUCAAAUUCCUUUACUCUGUGUUUUUCUAUGGUCUAUGGAUUUGAAGAGUGAUUUGAAAAGGAAAAGAUGGAUUUGAAGAGUGAUUUGGAAAGGAAAAUAAAAAAAGUGUGAGAAAUAUAGUUAUAUGUAAUUCACAUUUUAUUAAAUUCACAUUUGUUUUUUUUCUUUUCA